GAAUAUGAUACUAGGAGUGGUAAAAGAAAAACACAAGGUGAAUUAUGACUUAGUGAGUUGGGAAGUUGGGAUAGUGUGGUGACUAGACAGCGAGGAGUUAUAUUACACAUCGAACCACAAACACUCCGAAGUGUCCUCAUCACGUUUUUCCUUCAAAAUUUCACUCCGCAACUUGCUGAAAGCGGAAAGCCUGAUAACUCAAACUCAAAUGCAUCUUCGGUGUUUUCUCACUAACCAAACUCAUUAUCUUCCUAUGCUAUCAGCCUUAACCGCUAUUUACAUACCCAGGAAACUAGCAUCUCUCUUCUCUGUGAGUUCCACAAUAACGGUUGAGUAUACGUGUAAAGCAUUGAUGCUAAGGUAACUGAAAAGUACAUAAGAAUUCAUUCAAAAGUUACAGUUACUAGUUGAAUACUCCUGUUAACCACGAAAGGAAUAAGGUAAUUGGGGAGGAUAAUUUGUUAUUUAUAGUUUUAUACUAACUUUGAUCUUUACACCAUUUUUGAACCCCAAAAAUCUUUCUCAGUUCUCACUCACUUGUUCCUCUUUUACCUGUUUUCUCACCUUUCUGUUUGUAUGGUAGAUGGAACAAAAAAAGGGCACUAUAGCAAGAUUGAUGAAAAAACAACUCAUUUGAUUGCAGGGUUACUAUGUAUCCUUAUUUUCUGUUGCCCUCGGCAAAGAUAAGGUGCAAAGUAUAUGAACUUCACUCUUCACUUUAUUUAUUGGUUGUUUUGAAAUUCUUCGCACUUAUGCAUGUCACACGUUUUCGUUAUCAAAUUAACCUGUAUCAAGGGGUAGCCUGAUUCAUCGGUGUAGAAAGCUGUUUUGAUGCGAAUUAGAUUAUACUUUUUGAAACAACAAAAGCCGUCAUAUAGAACAUCCAAGAAGAUGGACAGAUAUUGUCCCAAUCCCAAAAAAAGCACCAAUGAGUUCCAAACAUUAACCUUGUUUCUACAAAACAUCAUGUUUUAAACUGCCACUUCUCUAUGAAGAGUGUCCAACAGUUUUUCUUCACCAUACAU